rnacentral:tRNA from 1 species
GGGCGCUUAGCUCAGCCGGCAAGAGCGCCGCCUUUACACGGCGGAGGUCGGGGGUUCGAGCCCCUCAGCGCCCA